UAUUAGAAAGCCAGAUAUACAGACAGAAGGGGAGACAAAGAUCUUCCAUCUGCUGGUUCACUCCCCAAGUGGCUGCCAUGGGUAGAGCUGAACUGAAUUGAAGUGAGGAGCCAGUAGUAGCUUUUUCUGUGUCUCCCAGGUGGGUACUGGGUCCCAAGGCCUUGGCCCAUUCUCGACUG